rnacentral:rRNA from 1 species
UACGGAGGGUGCGAGCGUUGUCCGGAAUCACUGGGCGUAAAGGGCGCGUAGGCGGCCUGAUAAGUAGGGGGUGAAAUCCUGCGGCUUAACCGCAGGGCUGCCUUCUAAACUGUCAGGCUCGAGCACAGUAGAGGCAGGUGGAAUUCCCGGUGUAGCGGUGGAAUGCGUAGAGAUCCGGAAGAACACCGGUGGCGAAGGCGGCCUGCUGGGCAGUUGCUGACACUGAGGCGCGACAGCGUGGGGAGCAAACAGG